rnacentral:lncRNA from 1 species
GGAUAGAGGCAGCAUGCUGGGUUGGUUGCUGCCAGGGUUUGUCUAGAGAUGUGUGAAUACCAAGAGGCGUUCAUGCCAGUGUUCUUGUUGAAAAAGAACUGAGGGGCAGUACAGAACUUAACUGUCCGAUGUAUGGCCUCUUGGGCGGAUGAAAGAAGAAGGCACCCUUCAACACUUUGAUUACAGUGUGUGAAAUAAUAUCUAGUAAGGAGGGAAUAAAAAAGCACUGGCUGGGACCAGACAGUAAGGCAAAUUGGUUUGAAUUGAUUUUUAAAUUAGUUAAUUACACUGUUUACAUGUUUUUCAGAAUUACGCAUUAAUUCUAAAUAGCUUAUUUUGUGGCACUAGUGUUUUUUUGUUGGUGUUGUUUUUCUUCAUUGUCUUCAUUAGAGAUUCAGUCUUUCAAGGUUGACUUGCACAAAGUAGAUGAACUCACAAGGCUUUCUUCUGGAAUCAAUUGUUCAGGUACUAGGAGCAGCAGAAUAAGAAACCCUUAAAGAUUGCUGCACGUGCAUGAGAGUAGCCUACUAGAUUUUUAAAGACAGUGUAAACAGGUGCCUGGGGAGUUGCCGAGGUUACCUGAGUGGCACGUUUGAGCACUGCAAUGGUAAGAUCUCCUUAGCAGCAGCAAAUGGCCUUGUGCACAGCUGCCAUGCACAUACUGGUCAUCACCUUGCACAUGCUCUAAUAACGCUGGGAACAUUGUGGGAUGACUACUUUGUGAUAUUUCUUUUCAUAUUAUCUACUGUCAAAUGGAACAGAAUGCUCAGAAAAGCUGCUGAUCUGCUCAAGUUCUGUACUACAGGAGGAGCAUUUUCUGCAGCCUCUGGCAUGACCUUUUUUUUUUCAGAUCCUCAUCUCUGUAUAAUAUAGCCUGUGAUGCUUUAUUUAUGGGAAACACAGAUGCUUCCCAAGCCCCAUCUUCGGUAGCGGCUAUCAUUCCCAGGUCCCAAACAUGGCUCUCCAGUUUGUCUCCUUUGUGAGAUAGGGUGCUGAAGGGAGUGAUGAGUGAAUCGUUUCCAUGGCUUUUGUCAGGAUUUCAAGUUCCCAGAUGGAAAGUUAACCAGGUUAGAAGAGAGCUACUUAAGGCACUAUUGAAAAGAGUGAAGGGGGAAAAAAAAAAAAGUAUGUGAAGGAAAGCAAGUGUGUGAAGUGGUUGUCUGUUUUUUUUUUUUUUUUGUGGUGUAAGAUACUGUGAAAAAGGAACAAGACAUUCAAGUUUCUCCCCUAUUCAUUUGCUUGCUGUUUGUGCUUUCUGGACACCUCCUCCUGAAUUCUACAUAUUAUUUUUAAUUUAGAGGAAAAUGUACAAGUGCAAAUGGACUCUAAUUUUUGUUGUUGUUAUUGUUUAUAUUUGGAAAUGAAAUAUAUGUUAAAAAAAGAGCUUGUUUAACCCUAUGUGCUCAUAUAUUCCUGUUACAGCUCUUGUAAGUUACCACUGUGUUCCUUUUUCAGAAGGCUUCUUGUCUAGAUCUGAUUUCUGAAAUCAACUUUAGUCAUAUCUCCAUUUUGAAACAGUAAAUUGGGAUGGUUACGAAUUGUCAGAUUGUGAGCUGGCACUGCUGAAAUGCAAUAGUAAAAAAAAAAAAGAGAAAAAAAAAAGAAAAAAAAAAAAGAAAAAAGAUUUGCCUCUUCAGUCUGAUCAGAACGAGCAAUCAGUGUUCGUGGGACAACACGUUUCAACAGUGAGAUUUCUUGCCGAAGAUCUGUAAACUGCUUGGGGAAGUAAGUUAACAAUGAAGUAAUCUAAUGAUUAAGUGUUAUAGCAUGACAUUAGCAAAUAGUAAUACCUUGACAUACAGUAGUAGAAAAGAUGAUUGAUUUGUAGGGCUGUUAUGUAUGACUAAUCUAAGGGUAUGUCAAAAUAAUGUUUUCUGGCAGGAAAAACCACAGAGAUCUGUAGUUCAUGGUAGCAGUAAAGAGAUAAUGUUCAUUGCAGAAACUACAUGAGACAAUAAACAAGUUUUGUGGAGCA